CGAACAGCUAGUAGUUUGACUCCGUGGCUACGAGGACGAACGCUGGCGGCGUGGAUUAGGCAUGCAAGUCGAACGGUAUAAACCUUCGGGGUUUAGAGAGUGGCGAACGGGUGAGUAACACGUAGGAAUCUACCCUUAAGACGGGGACAACCCAGGGAAACUUGGGCUAAUACCGGAUGAGAGUGCGAGAGAUUGCAUUUAAAAGGAUGGCGAAAGUUGUCGCUUAGGGAUGAGCCUGCGGUCUAUUAGUUAGUUGGUGAGGUAAGAGCUCACCAAGGCGAUGAUAGAUAGGCGGCCUUAACGGGUGGUCGCCCACACUGGGAUUGAGAUACGGCCCAGACUCCUACGGGAGGCAGCAGUCGAGAAUAGUCUACAAUGGCCGGAAGGCUGAUAGUGCGACGCCGCGUGAACGAGGGAGCCCUUCGGGGUGUAAAGUUCUUUUCUAUACGAGCAGUGCUAUAUAUAUGGAUAGUAUAUAUAGAGGGAUAGUAGUAUAGGAAUAAGCAACGGCUAACUCCGUGCC
rnacentral:rRNA from 1 species